rnacentral:rRNA from 1 species
GACGAACGCUGGCGGCGUGCUUAACACAUGCAAGUCGAACGCUGAAGCUCAGCUUUUGUUGGGUGGAUGAGUGGCGAACGGGUGAGUAACACGUGAGUAACCUGCCUCCUUCUUUGGGAUAACGCCCGGAAACGGGUGCUAAUACUGGAUAUUCACUGGUCUUCGCAUGGGGGUUGGUGGAAAGGGUUUUUCUGGUGGGGGAUGGGCUCGCGGCCUAUCAGCUUGUUGGUGGGGUGAUGGCCUACCAAGGCUUUGACGGGUAGCCGGCCUGAGAGGGUGACCGGUCACAUUGGGACUGAGAUACGGCCCAGACUCCUACGGGAGGCAGCAGUGGGGAAUAUUGCACAAUGGGCGCAAGCCUGAUGCAGCGACGCCGCGUGAGGGAUGGAGGCCCUCGGGUUGUGAACCUCUUUCGCUCAUGGUCAAGCCGCAACAAUGGUUGUGGUGAGGGUAGUGGGUAAAGAAGCGCCGGCUAACUACGUG